rnacentral:rRNA from 1 species
AGGAUUAGAUACCCUACUAUUAAAAGUUAUAUAUUGUUAGUAUAUAAAACUUAUGAAAACAAAAAAUUGUGGCGGUAUUUUAAGCUUUUCAGAGGAAUUUGCUCUUUAAUGGAUAAAACACCAAAAUCUUACUAAAAUUAGUUAAGCAGUCUGUAUACCACUAUUAAAGUAAUAGAUUAUUAUUAUUACUGGAAUUUAAAUGAUAAUUAAAAAAAAUUAAGUCAAGGUGCAGCAAAAAUUUUAGAAUGAAGUGAAUUACAUUUCUUUUUAGAGAGAAAAAUGAAAUUUUUAAUUUUAGGAUUUGAAAGUAAAGUUUUAAUAGAAUGAAAACUUGAAUUAAGCACUAAAAUAUGUACACAUCGCCCGUCGCUC